CCCGAUAAAGGCAAACCUGUCGGGAGACGGGGACGCAAAGCCGAGGGGCCCGAACAAGGGGAAGCCCGGCUGCCGAAG
rnacentral:ncRNA from 1 species